rnacentral:rRNA from 1 species
UGCGUAGGCGGCUCUCUAAGUCGGAUGUGAAAACUCUGGGCUCAACCCAGAGCCUGCAUCCGAAACUGGAGGGCUAGGGUUCUGGAGGGGAAAGCGGAAUUCCUGGUGUAGCGGUGAAAUGCGUAGAUAUCAGGAGGAACACCGGUGGCGAAGGCGGCUUUCUGGACAGAUACCGACGCUGAGGCACGAAAGCUAGGGAGCAAACA